rnacentral:lncRNA from 1 species
GGACUGUCAGAUGGAAAGAUACGUAGGGAUAGUUAUAUAAGCAUCUCUUACUGGAAAAUGAUUUUAGUAAACUUACUAUUUAGCUAUGCAUAUCAAUCGUUAAUUAAACCGGCACGCAUACACACACGUACACACAUACGCACACACAUACGCAUACAUGCAUAAAUUGCAUAAAUACAUACUCACAUGCACAUCUAUGUCGUGCAACAGAUGUCUAACCGUACCUGACAUAAAAGCAGUACACAAAAACAUAUACAUGCAUACGUGUGCGUAUAUAUACAUUUAUUGAACUAUCUACCACAUUCUUGUUUAUAUAUACAUAUAUAUAUAUAUAUAUAUAUAUAUAUAUAUAUAUAUAUAUAUAUAUAUAUACAUAUAUAUAGUUAGAGACAGAAAGCGGGAAAUAGAGGGGGAUAUGCAAGAGAGAGAGAGAGAGAGAGUAUAUUGAUGUGUGCUGUGUUUAACAAACAGUCGGGCUAAUAACACCCUCCAUGGAAUUAACAGGAACGGUCCCGAAGUGUGAGGUGAUCACACUGUCUCCCCUCUGCAGCCAGGCAUCUUCUGUACAUUAUAUUCUCGGCAAAUAACCAAAGUUCCACGGAGCAAAUCAUUCAUGUAUUAUUAUUUGUCACUCCUCGUUGAAAACCAUCCAUGAUGACGACGACAACAACAACAACAACUACAACAACGCCCACAAGUUUUCUGUCACACCGGUUGGUCAUCAAAUAUAUUUUUAAAAUUCUUUUGUCAAUGUAAUGUCAGUUUUUUUUUUUUAAUGAAAAAUCUGUAUGUCACACUUCACACACACACUUCACACACUUCACACACACACACACACACACACACACACACACACACACACACACACACUCACACACACAGAUAUUUAUAUGAUGCACACACAUACACACACUGAUACAUAUGAUGUACACACACACACUCACACAAACACGCGCACACACACACACACACACACACACACACACAGAUAUUUAUAUGAUGCACACACAUACACACACUGAUACAUAUGAUGUACACGCACACACACGCACACGCACGCACACACACACACACACACAGAUAUUUAUAUAAUGCACACACAUACACACACUGAUAUAUAUGAUGUACACACACACACACACGCACACACACACACACAGACACACACACACACACACACACAGAUAUUUAUAUAAUGCACACACAUACACACACUGAUACAUAUGAUGUACACACACACACAUGCACACAAACACGCACGCACACACACACACACACACACACACACAGAUAUUUAUAUAAUGCACACACAUACACACACUGAUACAUAUGAUGUACACACACACACAAACACGCGCGCACACACAUACACACGCACACACACAUACACACACACACACACACCGAAAUGCACGCACUCACACGAAAUACAUUCGUAAAUAAAUGCCAACGUACUUUUUUUUGUAUUGUUUGUUGUCCACACACACACACGCACACACACGCACACACACACAUACACAUGUAUACACAUAUACAUACACAUGUGUAUGUGUUUUAAUUUUACAUGUUUAUACAGAAGUUAGCAUAUACUUUUAUUUCAAUGUCAAAUCAUCCCACUUAAGCAAUCAAAAGCAUAAAACGAGAACAAACACGUGUCUGGAUGUGUGUGUGUGUGUGUGUGGAUGUGUGUGUGUGUGUGUGUGUGAGUGCGCGCACGUGAGCGUAUGUGUGUGUGUGUGUGUGUGUGAAUGUAUGUAAACAAAUUACAUGUGAGAAUUAAUACAUUUUACACGUACAUAUACAUAUAGGUACGUGUAUAUAAACACAUUCAUUUUACGUAGCAAACACAACCACACACACACUCUCUCUCUCCCCCUCUCUCUCUCUCUCUCUCACACACACACACACACACACACACACACACACACACACACACACACACACACACACACACACACACACACACACACACACACACACACACACAUCUAUAAAUGUUCGGUAUCACCUCGCUGCUGGAGAGAGGUGAUACCGUCGCUCUCUUUCGGCGCUGUGAUUUCCCGUCGGUAGAUAUGAGGUGAGUGAGGUAUGCCCCGCUGCGCCAGCUGUAUGUAAUAUCUAUCUAUCUAUAUAUCUAUCUAUCUAUCUAUCUAUCUAUCUAUCUAUCUAUCUAUCUAUCUAUCUAUCUAUCUGUCUAUCUGUCUGUCUGUCUGUCUGUCUGUCUGUCUGUCUGUCUGUCUGUCUAUCUAUCUAUCUUUUCUUUUUUCCCUCUCCCCACCUUUUUUUUUAAAAUUCUCCCCUUUUUUUGUCCUCUUUCUUUCCUUUUACGAUCCCUUUUGAUCGAAAACCAACUCCCUCUUUUUUACCCCCAAAAGAAAAACUCUACCUUGUAAUUUGUUCUGUCUGUGUGCAGCCCUGUGUGGCUAAUAAAGAAACAUAUCUAUCUAUCUAUCUAUCUAUCUAUCUAUCUAUCUAUCUAUCUAUCUAUCUAUCUAUCUAUCUAUCUCUAUCUAUCUAUCUAUCUAUCUAUCUAUCUAUCUAUCUAUCUAUCUAUCUAUCUAUCUAUCUAUGUCAAUCAAUCAAGGGAUAGACGAACAGAUAUGCAUGUUUUAUGUGUAAAGUAAAAAAAAAAACCUGUGUCAUUAUUUCGUUGUUCUACUCCAAUUCACAUCACAGCUGACCCACAAACAACCGUAAUAAUAUCAACAACGAGGAUAGCAACAAUUACAACUACAACGACAACAACAACAAUAAUAAUACCUGCAAACUAAUAAGACCAGGUAUUGUGACUGUCAGUGGCAAAAAAAAAAAAAAAAUGUUAAGUAAAUACAUUGUUAAAGAUAUUCCAGCUAUGACCUCCGCAUGGCUGUGUGGUAAGAAGGUUGUUUACCGACCUCACGGUUUCGGGGUUCAAUCCCACUACGUGGCACCUGACGCAGGUGUCUUUUACUAUAACUUCGAGUGAAUUUAGUAGACGGUAAUUGACUUUCGUCGUAUGUGUGUGUGUGUAUGCGUGUGUCUAUGUUUGUGUCACCUCACCUCUUGACAAUCGAGUGCUGGUAUGUUUACAUCACCGUAACAUAGCGGUUCGGCAAAAGAAACCGAUAGAGUAAGUUUCAGACUUGAAACAAAGUAUCGGGGUCGAUUUGUGCAAUAAAAAAAAAAACUUCAAGGCGGUGCCCCAGCAUGGCUGCAGUCCUGAAACAAAUAAAAGAUAAAAGAUCCUGUUUACCCUGUGUCUUUUUCGAAAUUGAUGCUGUGUAAUUUCAAAAAGAGACUUGGCUAUUAUUUCUAGCUGUUGUAGGACCACAUAGUGGAUUCUUUUUUUUUUUUUUUUUUGCUGGCUCGGAACCUUCCCCACCGUCAUCAUAAUUCAUAGCUUUGAGGAAAAUAUGAAGAGGAGGGGGUAGAGGAGUAAGCAUUGCUUCUCCGACUAGCUUCUUGUGAUCACUCAUUUGCUAGCGAUCAUUUCACCUGAGGUCAUUUACCUGUGUCGUUUUAUUUACGUGUGGCGGUCUAUUAUUCGUAUUUUUAGUUUUCUACCUGUGCUAAUAAACUUACUUGUAGAUAAUUCAUUGGUUAACUCUUUACUAAACACAAAACUCUUCACCGUUCGUAUUUAGCUAGCUUUCCUACUUAAAGACGCUAUCUUCACCGCCGUCGCCGUCGCCGCCACAACCACCAUCACUACUACUACUACUACUACUACUACUACUACUACUACUACUACUACUACUACUACUACUACUACUACAUGAAGGUUCUGGGGGGGAAAUUCUUCAUCGAUUUCGAUGAUGAGCACAGUCACUUAUUGGAUCAAGUGAAUUCUUGUGAAAUUUAUGUCUUAGCGGUUGUGUAUUCCACAGAUACGUGUAUCUUUACUAUAAUAUACACACAUACACCAAUACAUGCAUAGGCGUGGGUGUGUGGUAAGGAGUUUGCUUCCCAACCGCGUGAUUCCGGGUUCGGUCCCACUGCGUAGCACCUUGGGAAAGUGUUUUCUACUGUAAAUCAGGGCCUACCAAAGCCUUAUGAGAGGAUUUGGUAGACGAAAACUGAAAGGAACCCGUCAUAUAUCUAUCUAUCUAUCUAUCUAUCUAUCUAUCUAUCUAUCUAUCUAUCUAUCUAUCUAUCUAUCUAUCUGUCUGUCUGUCUGUCCGUCUGUGUCUGUUUGUCCUCUCCUCCACCGCUUGACAACCUGUGCUGGUGUGUUUACCUCUCCGUAACAUAGCGGUUCAGCAAAAGACCGAUAGAAUAAGUACUAGGCUUACAAGAAACAAGUCCUGGGGUCAAUUUGCUCGACUAAAGGCGGUGCUCCAGCAUGGCUGUAAUCAAAUGACUGAAAUAAGUAAAACAAUAAAAGAAUACACACACACACACACACAAUUAUUUGCAGGAUCCCGUAGAAUCGAGGUAUUUUAAUAAGAACACCCAGGUAGAGUCAAGGGUAGCAUACCCAUGUAUUAACAGUCUGUACGGACACUCACGUACUUACUAGAGUAUAUACGGAUUUGUCCUUUCAGUUAGGCAUACAUCCACAAGUAUAGACAAGAGUAUGCUCUGGCAUGCAGUCUACGGUCCACGGUACCCUGAAGGUUCAAGAUCCAACGCAGGGAAAGUUCCGAGUGUGGUGAGCUGGCAGAAACUUUAGCACGCCGGGCGAAAUGCUUAGCGCUAUUUCGUCCACCGCUGCGUUCUAAGUUCAAAUUCCGCCGAGGUCGACUUUGCCUUUCACCCUUUCGGGGUCGAUAAAUUAAGUACCAGUUACGCACUGGGGUCGAUGUAAUCGACUUAAUCUGUUUGUCUGUCCUUGUUUGUCCACUCUAUGUUUAGCCCCUUGUGGGUAAUAAAGAAAUAGGUAUAGUAUAAAUAACAGAAACGGGUGUCUGUGUGUGUGUGUGUGUGUAUGCAUGUACAUCUCCAGGAAAAGCUGGAUCGUUGAAUUUUUUUGUAUAGUCCAUCCGUCAGGUUUUCUCUAAUUGUUUUUGGUACUUGUGGAGUCAGGGCUUGGCGUAGUGUUCGUCUACCUAAAAUUCACUCACUUAACUUAGGUUAAAAUGGGGUUAAUCUUGGGUUAAACAAUGUGCUUUUCCCCGGUUGCCAAGCUGUGGGACUGAACCUUGGACUUCAUAUUACCGAAAUCGUUCAACUAAAUCGUCUUCCCAUAGCCGUGGAGGCUUUCGGAGUGAUCUUUUAUUCAAUCUCUAGGAUACCAUUCGACAGCUGCACGCGUCCACCUGUUGUCUGUGAACCUUACGCCAUGUCCGGCCCAGUGGAACUUGUGCUUUUGUUGUGUGUGUGUGUGUGUGUGUGUGUGUGUGUGUGUGUGUGUGUGUGUGUGUGUGUGUGUGUACCCCUCAGCAUUUGUUAAACAUGUUUCUAGAAGAAAGUGACACCAAUAUAAAACCGGAUACAGUUUCUGGUUCAAUAUCUGGGCUGGGUGGCGCCAUGUGACCUUGGGCAAGGUAUUUCAUUUCACGUCGCUCCUAUUUCGAUAACUGUAAUGAGUUCGAGCGGGGUGGUUGGCGUGCUGCCCUCUUUCUAUCCAGUUGUCAUAUCUUAAAUGUUCUGCUCGCUCAAGGAUGACGGAGACGGAAAAGAUAUCUCUGCCCAACCGUGACUACGCAGGUACCUAAAACAAUUAGAGAAGGCAUGGUACGUGCUACCCAGUCAAAUUUGUUUGUGGGUGAUGGCUGUGGCUGUGUGAUAAGAAGUUUGCAUUCCAACCACACGGUUCUGGGUUCGAUCCCAAGCCCAUUGUGUGUAUAUAUGUGUGUGUGUUUGUGUGUGUUCCUCACUACCGCUUUAAAACCGGAGUUUGUUUACAUCUCUGUAACUUAGCAGUUCGCCCUAAAAGAUCGAUAGAAGUACCAGGCUUUAAAAAAUGCACCGAGCCCGAUUCUUUCGAUUAAGACCAUGCAAAGCGGUGCCCCGGCUGAAACAAGCAGAACAAAAGUGUGUGCGUGCAUGUUUACACAUACAUGUAUGUGUGUAUAUAUAUGUACAUACAUACAUACACACACAUACACGAUUAUAUAUAUAUAUAUAUAUAUAUAUAUCCAUGUUUACACAUACAUGUAUGUGUAUAUAUAUAUGUACAUACAUACAUACACACACAUACACGAUUAUAUAUAUAUAUAUAUCCACCACCGCCACCACGUGACCGACCAGACCAUCAGAUGUUGUUACACAUCGCUGGUCACAAUGCGUUCGCAUUGUUUUAGCCUUCGAAUGACGCCACCCCGCUGGCUAAGCGAGCAGGCCAUAUAUAUAUAUAUAUAUAUAUAUAUAUAUAUAUAUAUAUAUAUAUAUAUAUAGUACAAAGUAAGAUAGGGGUUAUGAAUGUAACCCACUGUGAGAUAUCAAUUAUCCAAUAUACUGUUGGUAAAGUACCCAAAUUCUUAGUUGAUGAACGAGCUGAAUUUGUUUCUCCAGUGUCUUAUUUGUAUUAUAUAUAUAUAUAUAUAUAUAUAGGCACAGGAGUGGCUGUGUGGUAAGUAGCUUGCUUACCAACCACACAGUUCCGGGUUCAGUCCCACUGCGUGGCAUCUUGGGCAAGUGUCUUCUACUAUAGCCUCGGGCCGACCAAAGUCUUGUGAGUGGAUUUGGUAGACGGAAACUGAAAGAAGCUUGUCGUAUAUAUGUACAUAUAUAUGUGUGUGUGUGUGUGUGCAUGUUUGUGUGUCUGUGUUUGUCCCCCUAGCAUUGCUUGACAACCGAUGCUGGUGUGUUUACGUCGCCGUCAAUUAGCGGUUCGGCAAAAGAGACCGAUAGAAUAAGUACUGGGCUUACAACGAAUAAGUCCCGGGGUCGAUUUGCUCGACUAAAGGCGGUGCUCCAGCAUGGCCGCAGUCAAAGGACUGAAACAAGUAAAAGAGUAAAAGAGUAAAAUAGUAUAUUGCUGUAACGUCUUAUAAAAUGAGAUGGUCCUGGUUGGAACCCCUCUGUCAAACAUUGCUCUGCUCAAUAAAUGUUCAUCCGGGGGCUAAAUGUCAGCAACAACAACAACAACAACAACAACAACAACCAAUUUCCUGCCUCCACCCACAAGUCAUGUAGGUCACUCACACCAGCAUUUUGUAAAAUGUCCCCGAGGUCUAGUCUUCAGUCUUUACAUUCACUGUCACGGGAAUCAGUGAUUGAUUAAUCACUUCCAUAGGAGGUAGGGGGGGGAACUGGUUUCUCAAACUUCUAAAGUCUUCUAGCCUGUUUCUCCACCUCCACGUCACAUCAUCUUAACGUCUACUGCACAUAACGUCUCCAACUAUAUCACACCGCCGUCAUCUUUCACACACGUCACAUCACAAACUUAGUUUGUACUCUUUUACUCUUUUACACUUGUACUUGUUUCAGUCAUUUGACUGCGGCCAUUGUUGGAGCACCGCCUCGAGAAAAAUCGACCCCCAGGACUUAUCCUUUGUAAGCCUAGUACUUAUUCUAUCGGUCUCUUUUGCUGAACCAGCAUCGGUUGUCAAGCGAUGUUGGGGGACAACACACACACACACACACACACACACACACACACACACACACACACACACACACACACACACACACACACACACACACACACACACACACACACACACACACAUAUAUACUUAUAUACGACGGGCUUCUUUUAUAUUUCGUCUACCAAAUCCGCUCACAAGGCUUUGGUCGGCCCGAGGCAAUAGUAGAAGCCCAAGGUGCCACGCAAUGGGACUGAACCCGGAACCAUGUGGUUGGUAAGCAAGCUACUUACCGCACUAACGUCUUAACAACAACACACAAUGGUCUAACAUUUAACCCUACCGGAGUCUUAGUUAUACCCCAUCACCACCACCAUCACAGCUGCACUACAACCCUAGCUACUUUACAUCAUUUUAGCCACUUCAAAGUAACACUUCACUCCCAUCCUAGCUGCAUUGUACCACCGUCACAGGUGGUGUAGUGCACUAAGUGGAAGGAUGAAUGGCCAUUCGAAAACGCAGGGCUUGAACGCAGAUCAAGGGCCGGAAUAAUUAUCGCAAGAUAUUUUGUUCGACGCUCUGACGAUUUUUAUUUCUUUAUUGCCCACAAGGGGCUAAACACAGAGGAGACAAACGACCUCGGCGGAAUUUGAACUCAGAACGUAAAGUCAGACGAAAUACCUAUUUCUUUAUUACCCACAAGGGGCUAAACAUAGAGGGGACAAACAAGGACAGACAUAGGUAUUAAGUCGAUUACAUCGACCCAGUGCGUAACUGGUACUUAAUUUAUCGACCCCGAGAGGAUGAAAAGCAAAGUCGACCUCGGCGGAAUUUGAACUUAGAACGUAAAGUCAGACGAAAUACCGCUAAGCAUUUCGUCCGGCUUGCUAACGUUUCUGCCAGCUUACCGCCUUCUGCCAAACAAUCACCCUUCCAGAAAUGAUGAUAAUCUUUUAAGCUAUAGGUGCACACCUGAAAUUUUGGAAGAAAGAAACUAGUUGAUUAGAAAGACCGCAGUGCUUUAACGCUUUAACCCUGAUAACGCAAACGUAAUAUUUUGACGUUGAACUGUCGAGGACCAUUCCCACCCCUUGCACGUCCAUCACGAUGACUUUUGUAAUCGCCUUUUCUAAUUUACUUACUGGUCUCCACUUCAUAUUUCCCUAUCGCUACUUCUUCGUUAAAUCCUUCGAUUCAACUCUAAUCAUCCUCUUCAGAGCAUUUUAUCCCCGGUUGUUGACUAUCGCCCUCGUUAACUGCCACUUAAUUCGUUUAUCUGAACACUGCUGGCUUUGCACGCUGUGAACAGCGCCUUUAACUUUCAGUAAUUGUGAUGGUGUUUGCGUGUUAUAGCUGCCAAACCGAUUAUCUCACAAAUCAUAAAUUUACGGUUUGUGUAGACAAUCAGUUAAAACGGUAGGCAACUUACACUAUCUCUAUUUGCUGAUCUAACAAAUGCUGAAAAUACCAUCCAAAUUGUCUGAUGUGGUUACCCCAUGUCCACACUGACGCACUCACCAAAUUUAGUCAGUAGCUCUGACAAAGGGAAGUGUUUGAGUUAGUUUACGUCGAUUUUACACUGUUUCUUAUUGACUAUUGCUAGACGAGAUCUGAUCAAUAAGUAUCCGGACUGUUGCCAUAAAAACGAAGCUAAAGCACGCAGAGUGAAGCUGCUCGGCACAGAUUGACCUUGGAUUCUGCUGUGCAUGCACACUAAGUUUUAACAUUCUAGCUCACUUCCGCUGUUUACAGCAGUGUUUAGAAGGAACGUAUGUAGCGUGUGAUCAUCGCAUUGACCAUGACAGAAAAAGUUGUUAUGGUGAUAUCUACUGAGAUGCUUACGCAAUGUUGCAGAAAGUAUAUGGAGAGGAGUGUAUGAGCCGCACACAAGUGUAUAAGAGGUUCAGACGUUUCCCAGAUGGCCGAGAAAAUGUCGAUAGUGACGGACAUUCUGGGAGACCCGCAACUAGCAAAACUGAGAAAAAUAUUGCAGAUGUGCGUGCAACUGUGAGGGAAAAUCAUCGAAUCACUAUCUGUGAGUCAUCAGAGGUCGUGCAGUUUAGUUACAGUUCAGUUCAGUCCUUUAUCACUGAAGAUUUGGGUAUGAGACGCGUGUCUGCCGAGUUUGUACCAAACUGCUUUCAGCUGACCAAAAAAGACACUUGGAUUUCAGUUGCACAAGAUCUCCUUGAUUGUCUCAAGAACGAUGGAAACUUUUUGAAAACUUUGCGUAGGCCUCUGAGCAGGUAUCGUCAAGCUUUUAGCAAAAUUUGAUGCCGAUUCUCCGCUUAACUUUCUCUGUCAUGGCCAACGCGACGAUUAUACGCUACACACGUUCCUUCUAAGUACUGCUGUAAACAGGAAAAGUAAGCUAGAACAUUAAAACUUAGUGCACAUGCGCAGUAGAGUUCGAGGUCAAUCUGUGCCAAGCGGCUUCACUCUGCGUGCUUUAGUUUCGUUACUAUGGUAACAGUCCGGAUACUUAUUGGUCAGACCACGUAUAUGUCAGCUUUCGCUUAAAAUGUUAUUCCAUGCAUUAAAGUGCAAGACAUUUCUAACAACGUUUCUAAACACCUGAAAAAUUUCAGCUCCUCUGCUUUUCCUUUGAAGAAAUUGCAAUGACUACUAAUCACCUACAAUAUCACUGAAGAUGAUCCCGACCUUUCGAAACAAUGUCACCUCACCGCCGUUCGAACCGGGUCGAUCUAAGAUGCGUAUACCAUGGUGUCCUCGAAACCUGGGCGCAAGUGUGUGCCUUCUGGAAUUCUUGACCUUGCUAAUAGGUCAUAUUUAUGUCUAGUGAACGGAGGUUGUUACUGUAGCGGCCCUGCUUCCAAACCGACUCCGUGUUACGAGCAUUUAUAUGUCCACCCUGAGUAUUGGUAUGUUGGUCAAAGAAAGCUGUCGCUAACUUUGGUUUCCGAAAAGGACGGGUAAUCCGUCCGUAUAAAGUAUUUUUUUAAAUGUCUUAGUAAUACUUUGUUUAUGAAAUAGUCCUGUUAAUGUGUGGCUAUGUCUGUCUCGAUAGUCUUUGUCUACCCGUGUAGACUGAUAGACGGCCGCUGUUUUUGUUUAGAAAAUAAUUAACAUUUAUCCGGCAAAACCUGGCAAUAAUCCACUCUAGUUGUCUCAGAGACGUCCGCAUGCUUCAAAAGAGAUCGACUUUAUCUUUCCGGGGUCGAUAAAAUGAGUACCACUUGAGCACUGGGGUCGAUGUAAUCGACUUACCCCCUCCUCUGCACUUGCUGGCCUUGUGCCAAAAAUUGAAAUCAAUAUGCUAUAAUGUUUACGAUAUAAUAAUGCAUGUUAUCGUGGAUUCUCCUGUCGUAGAUGACAGGUAAGGGUCCCGCAAUUUCUUGUUGAAUAAUCUGCACAAGUGAUUUGAUAACCGUACAUUAACUGUACAUCAUUAGCUCGCUCUCUCCACUAAAUCGACAUUACCUGUACAGCUGCACGGUGUGCCACAUAUUAGGUGUCAAAACGAACGCAGAGCGACGCAAAAUUAAGUGUUUUACUUCAGACCUCACCGCACCACCCGGCCCCGGAAAACGAAACCACGAUUGUAAGAUCGUGAAUAUAACAACCUUACAAGGCCACGCAAAUGCACAGUGUAUGAUAUAGCGUAUAAUGUCUUACAGUGUUAUAUUACAAUCAAACUACAUGUGGAGGCGCAAUGGCCCAGUGGUUAAGAUAGCGGACUCGCGGUCGUAGGAUCGCGGUUUCGAUUCCCAGACCGGGCGUUGUGAGUGUUUAUUGAGCGAAAACAUCUAAAGCUCCACGAGGCUCCGGCAGGCGAUGGUGGUGAUCCCUGCUGUACUCUUUCACCACAACUUUCUCUCACUCUUACUUCCUGUUUCUGUUGUACCUGUAUUUCAAAGGGCCGGCCUUGUCACUCUCUGUGUCACGCUGAAUAUCCCCGAGAACUACGUUAAGAGUACACGUGUCUGUGGAGUGCUCAGCCACUUACACGUUAAUUUCACGAGCAGGCUGUUCCGUUGAUCGGAUCAACCGGAACCCUCAUCAUCGUAACCGACGGAGUGCUUCCACCACACAAUCGAAGACCGUUUAAGUCUUAUUUUAUUUCUCCUCGUUGUUACUUUAAACACACAUGACCCAAGUCAAAGUUCAUUCUAACAGCUGAUGUGGAAUCAACUUUUUUUUUUGUUUCAAAGUUGAUUCCGAUUCAUCCUAUGAGCUUUUUCACGCCGUCGUUCGACCAGCGAGAAAUAAACAGUUAAAUUUUUCUCAUUCCAAGCCCUAAUUACUGUAAUUAAUUAAUAAAAAAAAAAAAAAAACCCAAGAAGGCAUUGUUUAAACAUUUUUUUAAAAAUUAUAUACCGGCGACUCAGAACAAUAGUUUCGUGUGUGUAGUACACAUACAGACUCACACGCAACCAAUGAAAUAGUGGUGACAAUAACUUCGAAGUUUCGGCAUUCUUGCUUUCCUGGUACAGUCCGAGGAAGGCGAGCAGGUCGAAACUUCGAUGUCUCUGUCACCGCUAUUCUUGUAAAUGUAAUAUGUAAAUAAAUAUGUACUCUUCAGAAACUAUUGAGUAAUCCUUCAAUUUAAUGUGAAAUUGCUUUUAUUUUAACAUAAAAACAAACAUGUAUGUAUGUAUGUAUGUAUGUAUGUAUGUAUGUAUGUAUGUAUGUAUGUAUGUAUGUAUGUGUAUGCAUGUAUGUAUGUAUGUGUGUUUGUAUGUAUGUAUGUAUGUAUGUAUGUAUGUAUGUGUGUAUGUAUGUGUGUGUGUAUGUAUGUAUGUAUGUAUGUAUGUAUGUAUGUAUGUAUGUAUGUAUGUGUGUGUGUGUAUGUAUGUAUGUAUGUAUGUAUGUAUGUAUGUAUUUGAGUGUAUGUACACACACACACAGAAGCCAAAUUUACUUUCCAAAUUAAAAGAAAAUAACAAUAUAAUUACCGCUAACAUUUUGUGUUUGGACAAAUGAAAAUGAAUUUUCUAUUUAAAAAUUUUAAAAAACAAAAAAGUUUUGUAAUAAUACACAUUUCUAUUGCCGCGGGAAGGAUAAUUAAUUCUCCAAAUGAAAAAGACAAAAGUUGUAAUGAAAAAUUUGUCUUUUAUAAAAAGGAAAAAUUAAUAUCUUCUAAUGUACACAAAACUUGGUGUAUAUUUAUUUAUUUCUAAAUUCAUAACUGUUUGUCUCGUAGUUACCUACCUUCUCUUUCUUUCAGUCUGUCUAUCCCGCCGAUGUCCAGGAAUUGAGACAGGAAAAUCUAUCGUAAAAUAAAUUAAAAUUACGUAGAUACAUAAAUGGUACAUUAUUGAACAUUUUACAGGAAAUAAUAUUCUAUUUACAUAUUGUUAAAUGCACCGUAGCAUCACUGUCAAACUGUCAUUUUUGACGGUACGAUUAUUGUAUUUGAGUAAACUCUAAAAUAUUAUUAGUAAACAUAAUGGUUUUUCUUUUUUUUUAAUAUCUCCUACCUAUAAAUUGGGAUGACGAUUGUUUGAAAUAUCCAUGGUUCUAAUAUAACAUCAAAUACGGUAAUUCUAAUAAAUUUUUGCUUUUUUUUCUGUAAAGACUAAUUAUCUCUCUCUAUAUAAACGGCAGUUUGUCUGUGCGUGUUUCUGUGUGUCUGUUUGCUUGUACCCUCACUCUGACCACGGCUUUCAACCGAUUCUGAUGAAACUUGACACACACAUAGCCCAAUGUCAUAAUUCAAAACUAACGCAGCGAAAAUUUUGAAAAGUUCCCCCAGUUCUGAAAAAAAAUCGAUAAAUUCGACAUGGGGUCGAGAAUCACAAACACAAACCACAAACUGUCUAGGGGACGCAACUCCACCUUUUUUAACUUUAAAAAAAAAAUUUACCAUCAUUUUUUUUCCAUUUUUUUGCUAUAUUUUGGCUAUAACUCUCUAAAAAUGCUUUAUAGUUAUUUCCCUUACAAACCUGAGCAACGCCGGGCGAUACUGCUAGUACAAUAUAAAAGAACAAAAGUUAAGCAAUAUAAAAGAGUGUUUUAAAUGUGACUUCACCAGUGCAAAAUAUUGUUGUAAACGUGGCCUUGCCAGUUAACUUCAAUGUCACAUUCCAACAUGAAACAAAGUUCCUACUUCUCUACAUUUCUUCUUUCUUUUUCUUCUUCGUCUCUCUCUCUCUCUCUCUCUCGCUUUAACGCCCGUCUGCCCGCCUGUGAGUUUCUAUUUGUUUAUCUGUUACAUCGAAGGAGCGUGGCUAAGUGCUUAGGGUAUCCAGCUCACUCGUAUCGGAGUGACUCAGCGCCUCAGUUUCUGUGCACGUGAGUCCCACAAAUGCUGUUGUGGAGCUGUCGUCGACGAAUUCGGUUUCUAUGUGUUACCCUGCAGCUAUAGCGCGGGCCGGUUUCCCUAGCAUUUUGCCCUGAACGACAUCAUUAAAAGGGGCCUCGACGUGGCCGGCUUCUCGUCAUAACUGGAGCCGGAAAGUCUUCACUACGGUGAUGGCAUAUCCCUUUUCCCGUGGAGGCGCAAUGGCCCAGUGGUUAGGGCAGCGGACUCGCGGUCGUAGGAUCGCAGUUUCGAUUCCCAUACCGGGCAUUGUGAGUGUUUAUUGAGCGAAAACACCUAAAACUUCACAAGGCUCCUGCAGGGGUGGUGGUGGUGAACCCUGCUGUACUCUUUCACCACAACUUUCUCUCACUCUUACUUCCUGUUUCUGUUGUACCUGUAUUUCAAAAGGCCAGCCUUGUCACACUCUGUGUCACCCUGAAUCUCCUCGAGAACUACGUUAAGGGUACACGUGUCUGUGGAAUGCUCAGCCACUUGCACGUUAAUUCCACGAGCAAGCUGUUCCGUUGAUCGUAUCAGCUGGGACCCUCAUCGUCGUAACCGACGGAGUGCUCCUAAUAAUCCCUUUUCCCAUUCGAGGAAGAGCGCGACGUACUGCGACACGUCCACCGUUUCCAGUCUUGCUGCAUUGGCCGCAAACGCGGGUACCGUCGCCCGUAAUGCAGAGGGGAGGAAGUUAAACAAAUACCUAUUUCUUUACUACCCACAAGGGGCUAAACACAGAGAGGACAAACGAGGACAUACACACGGAUUAAGUCGAUUAUAUCGACCCCAGUGCGUAACUAGUACUUAUUUAAUCGACCCCGAAAGGAUGAAAGGCAAAGUUAACCUCGGCGGCCAGCCGCUGUCUGUUUUUACCUCUCGCUGUCGAGACUUCAGGUGCCCUAGGACUCCGCACUGCCGAUUUCCUCUGCAAAUUCGGGAUGACAGUGGUCCGUCUGAGAAAUGAGCCCCACGAAGUGGGGUAGAUCUUGCAGCAGGUGUUGCUGGCCAUUCUCCGCGGCAACGCCAUUGCAAUUAUGUUCGCGAGGCGUGGCAGAAAACCAGAAAAACCAAAAAAACAAGCAAACAAAAUAAAACAAAAAGCACAUUUAGACUGGGGUGUACUACCUGUUACUUUCCACCUCAACUUCUUUUGUUGCUUAUUCCCUACGCACCCCUUUUCUUCAUUUCCAUUUUGAAGUAAUUCUUUUCUUUUUUUUUACUCGAUAAUUUAAUGUGGAACAUUCACUGACCGCAUUGCCUAAUCGAUAGAGGGUGGUGAGCAUCUGAUGAUAUUCCCGAAGGUAGGUACCCAAUCUCGGUCUUUUCUAGACCAAGGACUGCAACAUUGCAACGAACUACAAAAUGUCCUUACAAAUGGGAACCACGCCUGCUCAGUGCCCUGGAAUAUCUUGAGACGCGUGUCUGUAUCAGCAGCUGUGACAUACCGAACCCACCUCCCAGAGGACGCUAUCGACAGAAACAAUCUGACUAUGGAAUACAUCCCUUCCACAGUAAGCGGAAAGGCCGAGAAUCUAGUCAGACGGGAACUGGGGCUAGUCACGAUAGAGGCGAUGUUGGUAUUCACCACCUCGACACGACCUUUACUCUCAGCCCAUUUGUAGGUGAGUUAGCUACCCUGCACGUAACCUCAUCUCAGUUCCUGUCCAUCAGGCAAUCCAGACCGAACCAGAGCAGGUUAACCGGUCCGCCUCUCUAACAUCUCACCUGUCCGCCUGUCUAGCAUCUCAACGGUCCGCCUGUCUUGCAUCUCCUGAUACCACGUUGCAACCCCAUCGACUUGUCCAAAUUUAUCUUUACUCCUGUCAUCGUCUCAUAUUCCUUUAGACUGUUCCACUUCCGUGGUGUCUGACACUAUUUCGGUGACAUUCGAUUACAUCGACACAGCCUCCCACAUCCUAGUUCGAAAAGGAUCCCCCUUAAUACUUCUACCUUCCGCAACAAUGGCUGAAGAAAUGGGAAAGGAUACUCCUGGUGGACCGAACGCGCGAUCUAAACUGUUCCGAUACGUGAUCACUUACUUUGGUCUCGGAGCAAAUGUUACAACGCAUUGCUGCGACCCAGCCUCUAAGAACGGGUCCAGAACCGACCGUUUUUAGGACUGCUAUCAAAUAGUGAUGGUCAACCUUAUCGAAAGAUUUCGACUGAUCUAGAUUGAUCAACGCCCCACCAAAGCCUGGUUCGUUUCUCACUCCUCUAUGAUGUAUCACAUGAGGUGGCGCUUACCGUAGCUGGAUCUUCUGGGGAUAGAACACGCUUGCGUUUCCUGCCCUAACUAACGGUGAUAAACACCGACUUCUUUGCUCACACUUUGCCCCCAAAUCUUAAACAAUACACAUGGUUGUGAUCCGGAAAAAGCCGCUUUUGUUAGUGUUCUUUCUCAACAGCCCUAAGACUCCUUGGCACUCACAGCUGAUGGAAUUCUCCCGUUCUGCAGUCAGUUACGGCAUACGUUUGGCAAAAGAUCAUGAAAGAAAUCUGACAUAUAACCAUAAACUUCAUAGGACAAAUUAUCGAACGAUUUGUCUUUGCGCAACCGCUCGCAGCCUGCUUUAUCUCAGUUGCUGUCACUGGCCUUUUGCAGUACCUCACAUCUUCCGCGGAGAGUCGCAGCAGGCCAUUGAGAUAGAUGCUGAAGUCCAUAAGAGUUUCCAAUCUGUCGCUCGCUUCGAACAAUUGAGCAAAGUACUACAGAAAAACUACACAUAUCUGCUGGAAACUGAGUAGCAUGUGUCCAUCCUGGUUCGUUAAAGACCGAAUUGUUUUAUUACCACGUCGUGCCUCCGCUACCCAAGGCUGUCGAGCGGCUUUUGUUCCCUCUUACUUUAGUGCACGAGCGCUAGCUUUGACAACGCACACUUUGUGUUUCGAGUUGAAGAAAUACUCAGGGGCCAUCAUCGUAGCUAGCACUUCGCUUGCUAUGCCUUCAACAACGUCGACUGCCACAUCAAAUUCGAAAUCGAACACCCGGAUGAAUCCUCUCUAUGUUAGAUUUCCAAAUCAAGAUCACAGAGGAGAGUUACAUCUACACGAAUUGUUAUGGAAAAGCGGCCAGUAGGAAUAUGUUCGUACAUUACGAAUUAGCCCCGCCUGCAAGGGCCAAAUCCGCAUUCAUGCAGAAUGAGAUCACACAUACAAGAGACAGGGUGCAGCGAAGCAACGGUCAAAGCUACCAACACCAAGCAGUUCCUCAGGAGCUUAGCACACAAGGGCUAUUCGCCAUCUGCAGCUAAACCACUGCAUCCCACCAAAAAACAUGAAAGUGAUUAAACAACAUACAAAAGCCCAUAACAAGUUGGUAAAUUUUCCUUAAACUGCCCUACUUCGACGACAGAACAGCUGCAGCUAUUCAACAUUCGAUCCGCAAGGAGGGACUCAUCAUACAUGCAUACAUACAUACACACACGCACACACACACACACGCACACACACAGAUAUAUUCUUUUCUUUCUUUUUUUUUCUUUUACUUGUUUCAGUCAUUUGACUGCGGCCAUGCUGGAGCACCGCCUUUAGCAAAUCGACCCCGGGACUUAUUCUUUGUAAGCCCAGUACUUAUUCUAUCGGUCUAUUUUUGCCGAACCGCUAAUUGACGGGGACGUAAACACACCAGCAUCGGUUGUCAAGCAAUGCUAGGGGGACAAACACAGACACACAAACAUAUACACACACAUACAUAUAUACAUACAUAUAUUCGACAGGCUUCUUUCAGUUUCCGUCUACCAAAUCCACUCACAAGGCAUUGGUCGGCCCGAGGCUAUAGUAGAAGACACUUGCCCAAGAUGCCACGCAGUGGGACUGAACCCGGAACCAUGUGGUUGGUUAGCAAGGUACUUACCACACAGCCACUCCUGCGCCUAUUAUAUAUAUAUAAUAAAAAUAAAAAAAUAUAUAUAUUUAUAAUUUAUAAGUUUAAAUUAUUAAUUUAAACAAUUUUUUAAAAUUUUAACUUUAAUUUAAAUAUUUUAAUUGGAUUUUUAUAUUUUUUAUAUAUUUUUUAAUUAAUUUUAUUUCUAUGUAUUAGCUUAUGAUUUUCACUGUUUGAUUUGCCUAAUAGUGGUUUUAUCUCUAAUUUAAUAUAAUAUAAUAUAUAUAUAUAUAUAUAUAUAUAUAUAUAUAUAUUUGGUAAAACGGUAAGAUAACAAAAGAAAGAAAGAGACUUCAAUAUUAUGUAAAUAGAGGAAAUUUAUCUAUAAAAUAAUAUGUUACAUUACACGAUAGUCAAGAUAAAACUCUGAGUUUCAGAUUUCGAAGUGGGAAUCCACGACGCCAUCUCUUCGGUUAUCUGGCUAUUUGAAAACGCUAUGGAAAAAUACCGUUAUACAAAGGGAAAUUACUGUGUUAUAACCCUGCUUGCCCGCGUACUUAUACAUCGCUAUGUAAACGUACACAUCUUCACUCGCAUUUUUCGCCAUAAAAAAUUAUAUAAAAAUACAUAAAAAAUAUAUAAAAAUAUAUAAAAAACAUACAUAAAAUAUAUAUAAAAAAUAUAUGAUAGAAGGUAUGAUGAGGUAAAAAAACCCUUCUGGGGACAUAACAUAGGAAGCAUGUUCUAUCUGUUUUCUUUAGGGGACCAAAAACGUAACAGAAAUUUAGUCACAUAUGGACAUGAUCCGAAAAGUUCUGUCCUUGAGUUUAGACAUGUAGUAGGGUCUAAGCUGCUUUUCCAGAUAAGCCAUCUCUCCCUGUCGCAUAGAACGCACCUUCCGCUGCCGUUGGUAUAGGGCUUACAUUUGGCCAAAAUCUUCCAAUGUAUGUUAUAAUCGACACCUUUAUCUCUUAAAGACCAAAUGUGACUAGAUAAUUGUGUCGCUUUUCUUUUGUUCCAGUGCCUAAAGCUCAAAGUGUGGUUAUUGAACCUGGCCUUGAAAUUACCCUCUGUAAGGCCCACGUAUUUCUUCGUCGAAACGGUGUCUUUAGUGGUUAUAGAGUCUACGGUAGCUUCAUAUAUGAUGGUCUUGGACAUGCAAGCUCCAUUUAGCGGGCACAAUUCUUUAUUCCUGCAUGAACAGCUGUUUUCUUGUUGUGUUUUUUGUACGUUAUGUUUGAUUAUGUUUUUAAAAUUGGUAGUGGAACUAAAACUAAUUUUUAAAUUGUGUCUAAUGAAGAGUUUCCUAUAAGUAUGGUUAACUGGAAAAUGUCUAUCUAUCAGUGCUAGGAAAUAUUUACCUAUAUUGAAGGCCACCUCGGGUGAGUAAGGGGGUGUAAACCAGAUGACCUUCCAUCACAUCAAUUCUGUGUGACCUGAGGUCGUCGUGGAAACAAGCCUGCUUCUUCUUCGAGCCCAGGCCACGAACAUUUAAACAACCAAUGCGUAGCGUAGCAAUGUCAAAACCAAAAUAAAAAGAAGGAAAUUGAAGCCUAUCUGCUCGUUUCAUCUUUCGGGGGGGGGGGGAUCACUCUCUGUAUCACUGAAACCUAUUCCCCCCUUCUCCUUCCUCUCGUAUAGAAACGGUUCUACCGGCGGGUUAAACACUUUCGGUAACUCCUUUAACUCUGCUAUUUCAUUAAGAUGUCUCUCAAGCCCGUAUAUAAUUUUUUUAGAAAAUUUUCCUAUUGUUACAGGGCUUCUACUGUUACUGUUUGUGUAUAGUAAUGUUUGUUGAUGGGUUUUGAUCACCCCGCUCUAAGUAUUUAUUACUAUUAUUAGAAAAGACUUUCUAACUAGAAAGGGUAUGGCCUGGUCAGCCUGUAAUGACAUGCAUAAGAUCUGGUCAUCAAAUCUAAGUAGAGACUUCAAACUUGAAAUAUUCAAAGCCACAGUCGAACCAAUUCUACUAUAUGGCUCAGAAACCUGGACGUUAUCAAAGAAGCUUGAGAGGCGGUUGGAUGGAACCUACACUCGCCUCCUUACGAGAGCUCAAAAUCUCUCGUGGAAGCGCCAUCCAACCAAAAUGCAAAUAUAUGGGAAACUACCAUCUGUGUCAUCUCUUGUGAAAGGUAGGAGAGUCCAGUUUGCUGGACAUUGUUGUAGAGCUGAAAAAGAAGUAAUUUCUACUCUUCUCCUCUGGAAGCCAUCUACUCGCAAUACCAGAGGGCGCACACUCUCCUACCCUGAUGUAAUCUCCAGGGAUACAGGCAUCCAGCAACAGGACCUCCGUAAUGCCAUGAUGGACCGUGAAGUCUGGCGUAGCAUGGUAAAUUCCAUUGUCUCGACCACGGUCGAACAAUGAUGAUGAUUUAUUACUAUUUUUGAAAGCUACAGUAGCGUUAUCCGCUUUCUUCGGUAAGUCGGUUAUUUCUUGUUUCAUUUCCCCCCUCUUUGGUUCUUUUGGUUUUUCCUUUUGUUCCUGUGUUUUCGCCGCUUUGCUUUUUGGAGCCACCUCCUGGGACUUGGUGGGCGACUCUAAUUUCUUGAGGCGUUUUCGUGACACCGUCUGAAAUUCUUUAGGUGAUCUUUUCUUCCACACUUAUAACACCUUGGUCGUCUCCACGUGAACCGCCAGCACCGUCUCCUCUCUAAUGUGUAUGCUGUAUUGCUUCUGACUGGUGUUUGAAGUUUGUCCUGUUUUUAUCGGGAGUUCGUGACUCAAAUUAGCAUGUUUUGAACAGGAUUUGAUUGGUAGAGGAUAGUUACAUGAUUGGUCUUAUAAACUUUUGUAGGUUCUCCGCUAAAUAAAAUAACUUUAUUUUCUCUCUCUCUCUCUCUCUCUCUGUAUAUAUAUAUAUAUAUAUAUAUAUAUAUAUAUAUAUAUAUAUAUAUAUAUAUAUAUAUAUAUAUACGAUUGGCUUCUUCUAGUUUCCGUCUACCAAAUCUACUCACAAGGCUUUGGUCGGAACAAUGUGGUUAGGAAGCAAAGUUUUUACCACACAGCCAUGCCUGAUUUUGGAGUAAGGGGUAAUGACAAUGACCUUUGUAAGACAUCUGAAAUCAGGUAGUUUGAAGAUGUUAAUGCUCUAUUUGGCGUGCAUGUAUGCGGGGUAGGGGGCCUGGGGAAGUGGAAAGGAAUAGAUUUGAAGAAGAGUGAUCCAGAAUGUGUAGUGUGGAGUUAGAUACAAAGCUGGCAGCGAAGGUGGGAACUUUCUCCAUAGAGGUACAACUAUCAUUGGUUAGCAAAGGAGGGAAAAAGCACUCCGUACAUAAUAUAUUUUCACUGAACCUCCACCAUAUACUUUACAUAAGUAAUACAUUUCCUUUGAAUAAGGCGGCGACCUGGCAGAAUUGUUAGCACGCCGAUCAAAAAUGCUUAGCACUGGUUCGUCCGUCUUUUACGUUCCGAGUUCAAAUUCCGCCAAGGUGUACUUUGGAACCAAUAUAUUUCCUCUGAAUUUUCGCUUUAAAUCUUAUUCUUUUGACUUUUACCUGGGGCCACCGCGUUGAAGGAAUCGGCCGCAGUACUAAUCUUUAAGUCGGCUACUUAUUCUAUCGAUCUCUUUUGCGGAACUGCUAAGUUACGGGGACGUAAAGAAACCAACACUGUUUUUUAAGUGAUCAGGGAGACAAACAUAUACGGGCUUCCAUAUAGUUUCCAAAUUCACUCACAAGGCAUUGGUUGGCCUCCGGAUAUAGUAGGAAACACUUGCGCAAGGUGCUGAACCCCAAAACAACGCGGCUGCAAAGCGAGCCUCUUAACCAGACAGUCAAACCUGUACCUAGUGUAGAAUAUUUAUAUAAUAUUAUUUCCGAUUUUGCGACAAAGCCAACAAUUUUGAGUAGGUGGGGGGGGGGGGACAAAUCAAUUACAUCGACUUUAGUACUAGACAGGUGCUUUUAUUUUUAUCAAUUCCCCAAAAAGAUGAAAAGCAAAAUUGACUUCGACUGGAUUUGAACUCAGAGCGUAUUUAUUUUGUCAUGGCCGGGUUCCGACCCGGGCCGCAGCAGCAGAGUUCACUCGCCACGCUUCUCGAUCUAACUUUACUGCCUCGAGGUCUUGGACACAUUCCAGGCUAGUGCCUGAGAUCAAGUUGUCUAUGUAAGAGUAAAGACACAUUCCUCUUCUUACGUCAUUAUGAAGUGGGUUCCACACGAUUGAUAAGGAUGCGUACAGUUCAGGGUGGCACCCGCAGUGACCAUAUAGUUGCAGCCGUCUUUGCCUGAUCUUCUCGCUAACUUUCGGCAGAUCUGUAUAAAGGCAUUCGUUUAUCAUAUGUUGCUGAGAUUUCACAUUUAGGGCCAUUUCGCAGCACCCUUGUGUUGCAGACAUCAAGCCUAAUUCAUAAUUAUCUAAGCAUAACGCGAUGGAAGAAACGCCAGUAAGCAUUUUUAUCCGACAGUUUAGCGAUUCAGCCAGCUUGGUGCUUUUAGAAUAUUUAUAAGAAAUGAUUCUGGAAUAUCACCAUUCUGUGACUUUUAUGUUUUUGCGGCGUGGUUGCGUGGUAAGAAGCUUGCUUCCCAACCACAUGGUUCCGGGUGCAGUCCCACUGCGUGACACCUGGGGCAAGUGUCUUCUACUAUAGCCUCGGAUCAACUAAAGCUCUGUGAGUGGAUUUGGUAGAUGGAAACUGAAAGAAACCCGUCGUAUAUAUAUAUAUAUAUAUAUAUAUAUAUAUAUAUAUAUAUAUAUAUAUAUAUAUAUAUAUAUAUAUAUAUAUAUAUAUAUAUGUAUAAAAGUAGAUAAAUGGUACAACAAGACAGCAAUAUUUACUGGGAAAUAGCAAUCGUAAUAAAUACGACGCUAUUGUAUAGCUUCACUGCGUAUAUACUAGCAAAGACGCGUGUGUGCAACAAACAUGAAAGAAAUUUGUCUUACCUCUAGGAAUCGGAUAAUGCAGGACCGGUUUCUGACUCUUCAAAUACGUUUGACAACGUAAAUUUGAUUAGUCUUCAUCAGCUGCAUUUACCUAGAUAAGAUUUCAAAUGUUGCCACAUCGAUGCCAGUAUACUCGUCUGAACGCCAAAACGUUAACAGAACGAGAACAGUGAAGUUUCAAUGAAAAUAAUAAUGCAAUACGAAUGUAUUACUUUCCAGUAAAAUAUAGCCAAUAAGGGUCAAAUUAUACAUAUAAAAGUAGAUAAGUGGUACAACAAGGCACCAAUAUUUACUGGAAAAUAGCAAUCGUAAUAAAUACGACGCUAUUGUAUAGCUUCACUGCGUAUAUAUUAGAUAUCUCACUCUACUAGGAAAAACAUGAAAAAUAAAACGAAAAGAACAUACAUACUCCCAUAUACAAACAUUGCAUACACAUAUAUACGUACACACAUGACUACAUACACACACACGCCUGCACACGUAGUCGACAAAUACAGAUAUAGACACUCAUAAUUAUAUAUAUGAGUGUGUGUGUGUGUGUCUGUCUGUCCGUCUAUGUGUCUCUCACCACCGCUUGAUAACAGGUGCUGGUGUGUUUUUGUCACAGUAACUUAGCGGUUCGGAAAAAGAAACCAAUAGAAUAAGUACCAGGCUUGAAACAAAUAAAAAAAACAACAAAAAAAAAACCCAAAAAUGUUGGAGUCGAUUCAUUCGACUAAAAAAAAAAUGAUAAUAAUAAAAACUUCUGCCAAGGCGGUGUCCCAACAAGGUUGUAAUGCUAAAUGACUGAAUCAAGUUAAAGUGGCCCACUUUGUUAUAAUUUGUGACAUUCUUACAGUUUGUUGUUAUGUGAAUUAGUAUGUGCGAGGGCCGGCCUCAGGGUUGCUGGCGCCCCGAGCAAGCUGAACUUCGGUCCCCUCACAAGAAUAAUUUUUUUAAACUUUCACGAGGAGAAAAUCUGAAAAUGUGGACUAAAAGGCACACAGUGCCCCGGGCGACUGCCCGAGUUGCCGGUACCUCGAGCCGAGCCUGUUUGUAUGUGUAAAGUUUCUUAGAUGCAAUGGUUGUGCAGAUCACUUGAAUUUACAAGUGCGUAUACUUCAUUACUAAUUAUGUGUGUCUAUAUCUGUAUUUGUCGACUACGUGUGCAGGCGAGUGUGUGUAUGUAGUCAUGUGUGUACGUAUAUAUGUGUAUGCAAUGUUUGUAUAUGGGAGUAUGUAUGUUCUUAUCGUUUUAUUUUUCAUGUUUUUUCCUGGUAGAGUGCGAUAUCUAGUUUCAGACCAGGAAAACCUUUCACUGGUAUUUAGACAUCAUCAACUAAAUAGACGUGACUGCAUGCAAACUUGUAUGUAUUGUAUGAGUAAACUAGCAGUAUCGCCCGGCGUUGCUCGGGUUUGUAAGGGAAAUAACUAUAUAAGCAUUUUUAGAGAGUUAUAGCCAAAAAAUAGCAAAAAAAUGCAUUAAAAAUGGAAAAAAAAUGAUGGUAAUUUUUUUUUAAAUCGUUGACAUUUUUAGAGAGUUCCCUUAUAUAAUAGUGAAAAAAUGCAUUAAAAUGGAAAAAAAUGAUGGUAAAUUUUUUUUUAAAUCGUAGACGCGCGCUAAUACCCAGAAGGGCUCGAUAUGAAUCACGACUAUAAGAUACCCGCUUUUGGUUAAACUGCACCGCAAAAUGUGGGAGUAGUUAGGAAUCUAAAUCGGAGGAGACAGACUCUCACACAACUUCAGUUUUAUAUAUAAAGAUAUAUAUGCUUUGAUUAAUGCAUAUAUACGAGGGUGUACUGAAAAGUCCAUGGCUUUGGGUAAAAGAAAAUACAGGAGGAUCAGUUAAUUACGAUUCUAUUCAACAUAUUUCCCUCUCAGAUUCACACACGUUGCAGCGGUCCUUCAGUUUUUCUAAGCCCUGUAAAAAGAAAUCGGAAGGUUGGCCCUCCAGCGAGGCCUUUCGUGAUACCCUCAAAACCAGGAACUUUUCAGCAUCCCUCGUACAUAAUCUAUAUGUAAGCUUAUGCAUGUAUAUACGUAUGCCUAUACGUGUAUAUAUGUUUUUUUUUAAAGUCUCUCUUUUAUCUUUUACUUAUUUUAGUCAUUAGACUGCGGCCGGCCGGGCUGGGGUACCACCCUGAGGAAAUUUUAGUCGAAUGAAUCAACCACAGUAACCACUGUACUUAUUUUUUAAAGUCUGGUACUUAUUCUAUCACAUUUUUUGUGGAACCGCUAAUUUGCGGAGACGUAAACACACCAACGCCGGUUGUGGGGAAUAGACAGACACAAUUACACACACAUACCCACACAGAUAUAGACGACGGGUUUCUUUCUGUUUCUUAUUUUUUUUACUGCUCACAGGGGGCUAAACAUAGAGGGGACAAACAAAGGACAGACAAACGGAUUAAGUCGAUUAUAUACUUAUUUAAUCGACCCCGCCCGAAAGGAUGAAAGGCAAAGUCGACCUCGGCAGAAUUUGAACUCAGAACGUAGCGACAGACGAAAUAAGCGCUAAGCAUUUCGCCCGGCAUGCUAACGUUUCUGCCAGCUCGCCACCUUUCUGUUUCUGUUGAUCAAGUCUUUGGUUGGCCCGAAGCUAUGGUAGAAGACAUUUGCCCAAGGUGCCACGCAGUGGGACUGAGCCGCCAAGAACUAUGUGGUCGGGAAGUAAGCUUCUUACUACACAGCCACACCUGUGCCUAUCCAUACCUAUUCGUUUUCAUGUCUGUACGUGUUCCUAUGACAGGUUUAACUACUGGAAUGUUUGACAUACUUUUCUGUCUGUAUCAUUUGACUGCAUUGUCCUAAGUGUCUGUGUUCCUUCUGUUUUUGUGAAGUUCACCUCCUCAACAUUGGUACAGAGGUAGUUAGUUACAUAGCCAAAGAGUCCGAAUAACUACCGAUAUAAGUCGUAUAACGCUCAAGUCGUGGAGGCGCAAUGGCCCAGUGGUUAGGGCAGCGGACUCGCGGUUUCGAUUCCCAGACCGGGCGUUGUGUGUGUCUAUUGAGCGAAAACACUUAAAGCUCCACGAGGCUCCGGCAGGGGGUGGUGGCGACCCCUGUUGUACUCUUUCGCCUCAACUUUCUCUCACUCCACUCUUACUUCCUGUUUCUGUUGUACCUGUAUUUCAAGGGGCCGGUCUUGUCACUCUCUGUGUCACGCUGAAUAUCCCUGAGAACUACGUUAAGGGUACACGUGUCUGUGGAGUGCUCAGCCACUUACAUGUUAAUUUCACGAGCAGGCUGUUCCGUUGAUUCGGAUCAACCGGAACCCUCAUCGUCGUAACCGACGGAGUGCUUCCAUCCAUAACGCUCAAGUUACAGUCCAGCUGACUGUGUAGUGAAGAAGCUCGCUUUGCGACCACGUAGUUUCAGGUUCAGUCCCACUGCGUGCGGGAAGCGAAAUUUGCCUUGGGGUGUCUAACUCAAGCUGUUCAAAGCAUUUCAAAUUGCCCCUACGCCACCAAAAUUUCAGGCUCUGUUGUAGGGGGUGGGGUGAGGUGCGCUUGCACUCUUUGCACUCGAGCCUAUUUAUAGCUGCGUGACACCUUGAACAAGUCUUAUACUAUAGCCCCGGGCAGACCAAUGCCUUGGGAGUGCGUUUUGUUGACGGAAAGUGUGAAAGACGGACGUAUGUGUGUGUGUGUGUGUGUGUGUGUGUGUGUGUGUGUGUGUGCUCACGACCGUUGACAACUAGUGUUGGUUAGUUUUCUUUCUAUAACUUAGUAGUUUGAUAAAAGAGAUCGAAAGAAUAAGAACCAGAUUUCAAAGAGGAAAAAAAAAAUAAAAGCCAAAAAAAAAAAAAAUGUUGCUCCAGCAUGGCCGCAGUCCAAUAAUUGAAACAAGUAAAAAAACAGAUGCAGUUGCUUCAGGUUUCUUAUCACUUAAAUGUAAAUGUUUUUCUCUUUCAUUCAAUUACUUCGAACAUUAUGGGCGCAUCUUCUUGGCAACUGGUUUCUACUGCUUAGUAACACUUUCGUCUCUCUGUCCCGAAUUAUUAUCUUUGGUAUGUUAUGCUUGCAAUUUUAGAGAGGUCUUGACAAAAAUAUUCCACCGGUAUUCUAGUUCGCUGAAACAUCUUUUAAUUUUAACUUGAGCACUAUUUCUUUUGUGGAUUUACGGCCCGUAGUGAGUUAACCACAUUUAAUCAUACAUCAUAGACAUAUAACAGCUUCUGAGGGUCUAGUGACAAUUCCAUAACCUUUAUGGUUUGUCACAUAAAAACCUCUACUUACACUUCUAUCCACUUUUUUGUGCAUCAGAUAUUUCCUUAUUUUCUUGUUCGUUAAAAAGGCAAGCUGGCAGAGUCAUUAGCACGGCGGAGAAAAUUCUCAGCUGCGUUUCUUCCGGCCCUUAUGUUCUGAGUUCAAAUUCAGCAGAGACCGACGAGGUCUUUCAAAUAAAAUACUGAGCUGUAGGCUUGACUCAAUCGAUUAGCUCGCUCUUCCAAAAUUUCAGGCCUUCUGCGUAUAAUAGGGUUAUUUCCUGUUUUGUCAUGUGCAAAACCAUGCUUUUCUGAGUGAGAGCUAAUAUAACGGUCGUUGGUCUAAGAUUCUAUUAAUGUCACUCAGGUAUGCAUAUACUGUAAGUGGAUGCAAGUAUGCAUCAAUUUACAGGCAUGCAUGCAUGUCAGCCCUGCAGAUUUCUGCACGCGAAACUGUAAAUGUAAGUCACUUGUUGCACGCCAGCAGUAUAGUCUGUUUUCACUAGUGACGCUGUGCGUGUGUGUGUGUAAGCGUAUAUGUGAGUGUUUGUGUGUGGUCUGGACUAAAGAAGAAUGACUUAAGUACCAUUAGAGACACACGUAAGUCAACAGCAGCAGCAACAACAGCUAUACUCACUUGAAUAUCGAUAAUAUUUACAACCUGUGUGGUAAGUAGGUUUGUACCUGGUGAAGGUUGCAACUACGUACUGAUGUGAGUGUAUGUGUUAAAAUGGAAUUGGUUGUGCUAGGGUAAUGAUUGUGUGACAGAGGAUAAAACUCAAGUCCCGGCUUAGUCCUGAUCCAGUGGACCUAUGAUGUGUGUGUAUACACAUACACACACACACAGUUUCAUUUUCCAAUGAAUCCGUUUCUUUAUACAACUGUAAAUACGAGAUUUGCGGGACAUUUGGCUGUUCUUUCUAGCAAAUCAAGCGACCGCAUAGAGGACUUUUCGUUGGUCGUAUAAUUAUAUAAAACAGUGACUGAUUGGUGAUACUAAUAAGACUGUCUACGUCUGUACGUGUGUGCAUGCGCUUGUGUGUAUGUGUGAAUACUCACACACACACAUACACACACGUACGCACACACACACAUACACACACACACGUACGCACACACACACACACGUAUCUGUGUACAAGCAUGUAAACUUGUCCGCGCAAAUGAUACGAUGUAUGCGUGUAUCUAUACACAUAUCUCUCGUUUAAUUACUUGUGUCUAAUUAUUCCUUCAUUAAUGUAUCAAUUGCUUGUUCCUCCCUCGCUCUUUUCCAUACACACACACACACACACACACACAUAUAUAUAUAUAUAUAUGUAUUCUUUAUAAGAACGGUGAAUCUUGAACCAAAUAAAGCUAUAAAUUUCAGCGUGCAAAUAUAAUAAGAUAUAUAUAUAUAUAUAUAUACAUCCUCUAUAUUUUGCUGAUCAUACCUUCACGGAACAGUAUACUAUAUAUAUAUAUAUAUAUAUAUAUAUAUAUAUAAUUAUUAUUUAAAGCUGUUUGAUUCGGGCCCGUGCUACUUCAAGUUUUGCAGGCCCCUAACGGGAACGCGAGUCCUUCAGUUUUCUGGAAUACAUACAUACAUACAUACAUACACACACACACACAUACACACACACACGCACACAUAUAUAUAUAUAUGUAUUAUUUGGGCCCAAUCUGUCUAUUGCUACUCUGAGUUUCAUCUGUGGGUGCAUAGGAUCUUGACGCUAGGCAUAAUUUGUCUCAAGAUCCUGCGAACCCACAGCUGAUAAUCUUAAUCUCUAACUAAGGUAUUGAGUACUCUUUCUUUCGACAGCCAACACUCAACGGCUGUAUGUAUGCAUGUAUGUACAUAUGUACGUGUUCACGUACGAACAUGUGAGUAUAUGCGUGUGUGUGUACGUACACAAGGAAGCAGAUUUGUUUACAAUUAAGACAUGGAAACAUUUACAACAAGGAUGAUAAUAUAACGAAUAAACACACACACACACACACCUCUACGCACGCAGACACAGAAACACUCUUACGUAAAGAUAGAUUCCUAAGAGAUUCCGUAAGUCAAAUAUUUACAUAUCUUAAUACAAACAUAUCAUGUUGUAUACCGAACUUAAAAAUAUGAAUACAAAUGUGUGUGUGUGUGUGUCUGGUAUAUAUUUAUAUAAACAUAUAUAUAUACUCAAACGCAUCUUGUGGAACCUGCUUCUCAUAAUAUUAUCAAACGAUUAUUGUUAUCAGAAUUAAUAGAUCCGAAACAAGUUCAGGACAUCGUUAUAUUUCUGCUUAAUGUUUAUCAACCGGUUAUUGUUAUUUAAUAUACUCCAUCCGAAAGUGAUCGUAAGAAGCAGCUUUCACUAUACAGUGUAAUACAACAAUUUCGCACUUCUACCGCGCACGCAUGUAUAUAUAUAUGUAUAUGUAUGUAUGUAUAUAUAUAUAUAUAUAUAUAUAUAUAUAUAUAUAUAUAUAUAUAUAUGUAUAUAUAUGUAUAUAUAUAUAUAUAUAUAUAUAUAUAUAUAUAUAUAUAUAUAUAUAUAUAUAUAUAUAUAUAUAUAUAUAUAUAUAUAUAUAUAUAUAUAUAUAUAUAUAUAUAUAUAUAUAUAUGUAUAUAUAUAUAUAUAUAUAUGUAUAUAUAUAUGUAUAUAUAUAUAUAUAUAUAUAUAUAUAUAUAUAUAUAUAUAUAUAUAUAUAUAUAUAUAUAUAUAUAUAUAUAUAUAUGUAUAUAUAUAUAUAUAUAUAUAUAUAUAUAUAUAUAUAUAUAUAUAUAUAUAUAUAUAUAUAUGUAUAUAUGUGUAUGUGUGUAUAUGUGUAUAUAUAUAUAUAUAUAUAUAUAUAUAUAUAUAUAUAUAUAUAUAUAUAUAUGUAUAUAUGUAUAAAUAUAUAUAUAGUGUGUGGCGAUGUGAAUAUGUUUGUGUAUAUACUCACGCGAGGUGUGUGUGAACAUGUUUUAACGUGUAUUUUACAUGCUUGUACAGCGUGAAAGGUUUUAUGCAUGUGUGUGUGUGUGUGUUAUAUGAGUGUGUUUGGACAUUAAUGGUUAUUUCUAACUCGAGUUACGAUGAAAAAAACAAUUGUACAUUAAACUGAAGGUUUUGCUCGAUACUUUUUGUAGAGUACAUAAAUAUAUAUUUUGCAACACUUCGAAGUCGCUGACACCGUUAUUUGCGUGUGUCAAAUGUUUGUACGUUGUCACUACUUUAUUCCUUCUCUGUGAGAUCAAACCCUAUUACACCUAUGGAAUGUCCACAUUGUAAAUUCAUUCUGAAAGUUAGUUGGUUGUAUUUAGAUCGUGUCUGAAGCGGAAAAGUAAAAAUUAGAGAGAAAGAAAAAAAUGGAAAACUAUGAAAAAUAGAAGAUACAUAAAAAUCGCUUCUUCGUUGCUAUUUAGACGUCGACGAUUAUUUAAUUAUCUGGAGUUUUAAUGAUGGAUUUGAGGGACUCCCCACCACCGAAAUACACUAUCAGAGAUGGAGCUUUUAGUCUGCUAAAAUAACAACCAAAUCUCUCUCAAAAUCACGCCCUGCUGCAUUAAAAUGCAAGGUCACAUUGGAUAAUGGUAGUUCUAGGAUUCACUGUCUGAUUAUGGGACGAGGUGGUCAGAUCUGGAAUGAUAUCGAUCAUAAGUCUGUUUGAUCAGUGUUCGCUUAUAGUUGAACAAGCAACAUGUGAUACAAAAGUAAUGGAUCGUAUUGGCGGAGGUGAUGAUGGUGGAAUAUUUAAGCUAAAUGCUCGUUCCGUAAUGAAUUUCCAUGGUCUUCAGAAUAAGUUCGGACUGAUAUGUUUUUUAAGUUUGGACAAAACAAUCAACAAUAGGAUAGUUAGGGAUUGAAAUAAUAAUAAUAAUAAUAAUAAUAAUAAUAAUAAUAAUAAUAAUAAUAAUAAUAAUAAUAAUAAUAAUGAUAAUGAUAAUGAUAAUAAUAAUGAUAAUGAUAAUAAUGAUAAUAAUAAUAAUGAUAAUAAUAAUGAUAAUAAUAAUAUACUUUACAGUUUGGAUCAAAGAUGUUACUCCACAACAACAGGCUAAUAACAAUAUUAACAAUUAAAACAGCACGAAAUAGAUAAUAAUAUUAAAAAAAUAACAAUAGCACGAAACGAGGGAGUCGCUGGAAGCUGCUAGAAAUAGCAGCAAAAUUUGCCUCAAAUCCUAGUUUACUUUCUAGGGUACAGUGUUAGUUUCUACCAUGCAAGAAAAAAAAAAAGAGUCACUGUCGUUGCUGGAGCACCUGUGAUCGUAGGAACUAAAAAACAUCAAUAGUAUUCAAAGAUAGGUUAGAUGCGGUGGUGGUAAUGGGGGGCUUCAACAACCAGCUGUUUUCCCUCCGUUUCUACUUCGCUUCUCUCGUUUCCAUUUUCUUAUUCUCAUUCCCCCCCCCUAUCUUUCCCGCCACAUCUCUCUCUUUCUCUUUCUCUCUCUCUCUCUCUCUCUCAUCCCCCUUCUUCCUUUCAUAACAUGAUAUAUAUUUCAACUUUCAUCAAUCGUAAAAAGUCACUCUCAGCAACUGUAAAAGCAGGAGAUUACUACUUCCUCCACUUAUUCCAACGUUUUUACCACACUGUCUCACUUAUUCCAUUCUUCCAAACUACAGUAUUUACACUUUGAACACGGCCAACUUUCUCUCUCUUACCGAAACCGUUUAAUUAAGACUGCUGCUGGUUACGUUGAUGUAGCAGAAACAGCCGCCGCCGCCGCCGCCACCACCACCACCACCACCACUACCUAUUUCUUUAUUACCCACAAGGGGCUAAACACAGAGGGGACAAACAAGGACAGACAGAGGUAUUAAGUCGAUUACAUCGACCCCAGUGCGUAACUGGUACUUAAUUUAUCGACCCCGAAAGGAUGAAAGGCAAAGUCGACCUCGGCGGAAUUUGAACUCACAACGUAACGGCAGACGAAAUACCGAUAAGCAUUUCGCCCGACGUGCUAACGCUUCUGCCAGCUCACCACCACCACCACCACCACCACCACCACCACCACCACCAAAAAAAGUAAUAAGGUGAAGUUUUUAAUAAACGAAAUAACUCAAAGGGAUCGAUGGAUGAUUUUUGUCUUAAUAUGUUCCGUGGUGGUACUGUAAGAGAAUGUUUCAGAGUUGAUAUCUUCCUAGCAAUUGCCCGAUAUUUUUGUAUCUAGCCGUGUGUGUGUGCGCGCGUGUAUGCGUCUCCCCCCUCUCUCUCUCUCUCUCUCUCUCUCACGCAUAAAUAUGUGCUUGAGGCAUAUUCGAACCCGUAGAAACCCGUCCACUGUGUUUUGUUAUGGAGAAAAUUUUUUGCUCUUGUCAAAUAGCUUAGCGGUUCGUAUAUAUGUAUGUAUAUAUAUAGUACCAGUUUCGCACUGGGGACGAUAUAAUCGACUCAAUCCCUUCGUCUGUCCUUGUUUGUCCCCUCUAUGUUUAGCCCCUUGUGGGCAGUAAAGAAACAUAUAUAUAUAUAUAUAGUAUAUAUAUAUAUAUAUAUAUAUAUAUAUAUAUAUAUAUAUAUAUAUAUAUAUAUAUAUAUAUAUAUAUAUAUAUAAUUAAUUAAUAAGAGUGAGAGAAUUAGAUACUAAUUUAAUAGUAUAUCUAUUCAACACCAAGUGUACUGACUUUCAUGGGAAACAUGUAUUUUUGUGGUUGAAACCUUUUGGAUUAACUGGUGCUAGAGUGAGCCAUAUAGUGACCACUCUCUUAUAUUUAUUUUAUUAUAUAUAUAUAUAUAUAUAUAUAUAUAUAUAUAUAUAUAUAUAUAUAUAUAUUAGAGAGAGAGAGAGAGAGAGAAAGAGGUGAGCAUGGUUGUUAAGAGGUUUGCGGUCCCAGUAAAUCAGUGCACUAGGUCCAAUAACAUUUAUUGACAGUAAGUCACAGCAUAUACGUAGAUUAGAAAUGCUCCUCCCGCCAAGCUUGUGGGGGUCAGGUCCUUGGGCAACUGUCCUGCGAGCUUAUUAUGUCUGAAGACGGCACUGCUGCCACGACAUUGGACAAGUGUCUUUUUACUACGUGAUUCACCGCUUAACAACAAAUGUUAGUUUAUUUACGUCCCCGUAUCUUAACAACGAUUUGACAUCAAAAAAAAGAAAAAGAAAAAAAGAGAGCCCGAUUGAAUAAGUAGCAUCUUUACAAAUACAUACUAGGAUCGACUUGAUCGGCUAAACCCUUAUUAGUAGUGCUCCAGUAUGGCCAUAGUCUAAUGAUUGAAACAAAGGAAUAAUAGUGUGUGUGUGUUAAGUAUGCCUGGUUUCGUAGUUAUUCUGGUAACUGUCAGUUUAUCCGAAUUUCUCGUGUUCUUUCUGCUUUUCCUUAUUCUUUCUCUCUUUCUCUCUAUCCGUGUACACCUGUAAGUUCCUGUCAGUCUAUCGGUCUGUCUUCUUGUUUAUGUAUCUGUCCGUCUGUCUAUCUGUCUGUCUAUCUGUCCCUCUUUCCAUCUGUCUGUCUAUUUAUCUUUUCAUCUGUCUGCUUCCAUCCAUCCAUCCAUCCAUCCAUUCGUCCGUCCGUCCGUCAGUGUGUCUGUUUGCCGGUUUUCCAAGUUUUCCAAUAUUUCCAAAGGUCAUUGACAUUUCCAUUGUUUACGUCGUACGUCACAUUUAGCUGUAGUAGCAGCAUUGUUUGUUAGUAUUGUAGCAAUAAUAUAGAGGGACUUCUGUGUAUGAAUAUUACUAUUUCUUGUUACUAUAACUAAUAUUUAUUAUUACUAAUAUACAGUUGCUGUGUAUUGUUACUAUACGAAGCAUUGCUCUUUAUUGUUAUGUAUUGUUACUGUUAUAGACAGAAUGGUUUGAAAUAGCUGUCAAUUCCCACUCAGGUCACACUUUUACCGCUUCAAAUGUGAGAGUCACGGCCCGGAAUGUCUUUGAUCGUAUCUGCUCACCAGUAUCAAAGCUAAUAGAGGCAUCGCUGGAGCCUGCAUAUGAUGACUCAACCAGAAACAGAAGUCAAACUCUCCCUCAACACUCGACAGUCUUUCAAAUGUAUACAUUGUAUAAUGUAGGCCUAGCUAUACAACGUCUGGAAAUUAGAAUGUGGCCAUCGCUGAGAUGCCUUUAAUUGUAUGUCUUGCCCGAUCAAGGGUAGACCGGGAGUUAAACAACCGCCACAACAAAUAUCGAACAUGUGUAUGACAGUAACAGUCGUUUCAAAUUUUCGCACAAGGCCAGCUGUUUUCGAGGAGGCGGUUAGUCGAUUGCAAAGAUCUCACACGUGCCAAAAUAGAAACGUCUACAUGGUUGCUGUGCUUGCUAGAGAUAACAGCCAGCCGAAUUUGCUUCAGCUGAUACUGUUUCUCAAAAAUUCUUACUUUAAGGACACACGAACUAAUGUAGUCUGAAUAAAAUACCGGACAGUCGUGACUGGAACACUUUUGAUCGUACUGCUUCAAUCAGAACUGACCUGAAGCGAAACAACAGCAGACAAGCAUUAAUAGUUCAUGACAAUUAUACCAGAGAGCUGACUUCGAUUUUCGAUUAAACAGUUUCAUUUUUUCUUUCGCUGUCGAUGAACACAAGAAAAACAUGAUCAUUUCACGAUCACACUUGUCACCUAUAAAUUUGUAACCGUGUGACUAUGGGCAGAGGCUUAGCUGUGCAGUCAGGGAGUUUCCUUUGCACCUAUAUUAUUCUAGGCGGCGAGCUGGCAGAAUCGUUAGCACGCCGGGCAAAAUGCGUAGCUAUAUUUCGUCUGCCGUUACGUUCUGGGUUCAAAUUCCGCCGAGGUCGACUUUGCCAUUCAUCCUUUCGGGGUCGAUAAAUUAAGUACCAGUUACGCACUGGGGUCGAUGUAAUCGACUUAAUCCGUUUGUCUGUCCUUGUUUGUCCUCUCUGUGUUUAGCCCUUUGUGGGUAGUAAAGAAAUAUAUAUUAUUCUAGGUUCAAUUCCACAGUAAGGUGUGAUUUGAAAAAAGGUUUGGCUGCAGGUUUCAGCAGAUAAACCAACCACCUUAGAGGCUUCCUCAACUUGCAAUGGUAACUUCUCUGCAAAUAAAUUUUGCAUCUCCGUUUUGACUUCUCGUUGGUUUCCAAUUAAAAAUUCUAUCAUUUCAUGUUCCUCAAAACGGCAUGAACUCCACAAUUUUACAACACUUCUCUAUUAUACAAAUGAAGGUUUUUGUCUUGAUUUAUUUAAGCAACCAUAAUAAAAUAGUUAAAUAACUUCGGAAAUAUAGGAGGUCGUGGCGAUUAUGCCUUUCUCGUGGCUCUGCACUGGAGUCUAACUUAAAUGAAAUGGAAUAGCUUAAACCAAAAAUCAAAGAUACGUAUCAGUUUAUUUCUUAUUUUAAACUCUGUCUUGUUAUCGAUGAACGAUUCUCUCUCUGUAAUCUUCUGCCUAAUCUUAUUAUUUCUUCUAAUAGUCCAAAUGUUGUAAGUCAAUGCAAAUUAAUAAAGGAAAUGACCUCCUUUGGUCAUGAAUGACCAUGGGAUUGUACCUAGAAAGUUCCCCUCUGAGGCAAGGUUGUUUAUGGGAGACUAGUAGUCGCUGCUCCACACCAAGGGAAAGGCAACACCAAUAUGGCUUGGCACCAGUGAUGCUGCAACUCAUUUCUACAAUUGAGGGAACUGGAGCAACAUGAAAUAAAGUGUUUUGCUCAAGAACACAGCACAUAGCCCAGUCCAGGAAUUGAACUCACUACCUCAUGACUGUGCGGCCAACAGUCUAACCACUGAGCCACAUGCCCUCACAAUGAAGGCACAAGCUAAUAAUUAUUGCUUGAUUAUUAUUCCAACAUUGAUACAAGAGGUGAAUAACUUUUGAAUAUUUAUUUGUCAGAGAUUAUGUUGGAAUUAUGAGUCAAAACAACUUUCUCUCCUAUCUCUCUCUCUCUCCCAUCUCCCUCUCUUUCCCAUCUCUCUCUCUCUCCCAUCUCCCUCUCUCUCCCAUCUCUCUUUCUCUCAUUCUCUGUUCUAUCUGAAUAUAGAUGCUUGUCUGUAAUUAUGUACUUUCUCUUUGAUACUCCUUUAACCCUUUUCAUACAAACCUGCCUGUGAUCACCAUUGGUUCCGCGAUACAAACUUCCUGUUUUAAGGUAGCAUAAAUUAAAACCUUCCACCAAAGUCUCAUGUUAAUUUAUGUUUGAAACUCUAGCUUAAGAAUGGCACUACUAAAUUCUUAAUUAUUUCAUAAAUUAAUAGAAACAAAGUCAGUGUAUUCCAACAGAAAUAUAGUAAUAAAAGAGUAAAAUAAGAGAUUGAAGCUGACAUCCAGGUAAUGCAGUAGAGUGAUAUAUUGAACUUGAGAAAAGUCUCACACAUUUUAUCCAUGCCACUUAUUUGUUGAUUAUAAAGAACUUGAGUGAAGUUUAUGUGUCUUUAUUUGAGAUAUACAGUUUCAUAAAGUCACACUUAAUUAGAUUGGUGGUGGUUGUAGUGGUGGGUAUGUUUGAAAUAUUUGUGGAAUAGGAUGGAUAUCUGGCUUGGAGGGAUGAAUAAUUGAGUUAAAAUUUUAACACUACGUACUCUUGUAGAUAUCUGCUUCAGAGACAUUUCUGUGUGUGGUUAUGUGAUAUUUCUCUCUCCCUCUCUGGAUAGGUUUUUGUGGUGUAGUUGAAUAAUAUCUCUCACUCUAGAUAGAUGUUUGUGGUAUAGCUGAGCGAUAUCUUUCACUCCAGAGAAAUUUCUGUGGUAUAGUUGUAUGAUAUCCUCCACUCUAAAUACAUUUUGUGUUAUUGUUGAGUGAUAUCUCCCACUCUAGAAAAGAACUGUGAUGUUGUUGAAUGAUAUCACUUGCCCUGGAUAGGCUUCUGUGGCAUAGUUGAGUAAUAUCUCCUGCUCUAGAGAGAUUUUUGUAUGUGAUUGUGUGAUGUCUCCUUCUCUAGGUAGGGUUCAGUGGUGUAGAUGAGUGACAUCUCUCACUCUAGAUAGUUCUCUGUGAUGUAGCUGAGUGGCAUCCAUUUCAAGCUAACAAAAAUCCUACAUCCUACUAUGAUUCAUUAGUUUGGUAUCUAUUUGCAGUCAAGUGGACUGAGCUGUUUGGAGUUAAGUGAUUUUACAACACUGCACCAUUGAAUAAGAGUGAAAUGUUCACCUAUCAUCUUCUUGGUCAAAGCCUCUUAAGUAAACUUGGUAGAUAGAAAUUGAAAGAAGUCCAUCACAUGUGUGUGUCUGUAUGUAUAUAUAUAUAUUGUGUGUGUGUGUGUGUGUGUGCGUUGCCCCCCCUUCCCUAUUCUCCCCUCCUCUUCACUGUUCCCUCUCUCUCACUCCUCGUCUUUGACUCUCUUGUCGCUGACACGUGACGAAAGAUAAUCAAUCUGUCCUUCUGCCCACAACCUUUGAAAAGAAAAAACAUGCUUAUACUGUCUCCUUCAUAAGCCCGUCUUCCUUGCGUUCAGAAUAAUUUUUCUAUCGUUUCAGCUUAACAGCUCUCACCGUUUGUUUUUACUGUUUUAUUCUCACUGUCCUGUUCUUUGUAUUAUUUUGUUCUCACUGUCCUGUUCUUGUUACCACUUUCACCCUCUGCAAAAAAUUCCAAAUUUUAUUUAAUUUGCUUUGCGGGAAGGACUGUUUCAACGAAGUUGCGUCUUGUCCUUGCCUUUGAAACGUGGAGUAGAUGAAACAGGGACAACCGAAGAAGGGGAAUAUUCUUUAUGUUGUAUGUCUCGUUUCUCUGUUUGUUUUUUUCGUUAUUCGAAAAAAAGUUCGUUUCUAUGUUUUUAUUUUUAUGUUUUCCUUUUUCAUUGUGUUCAACGUGUUUUUGAUGUCCUGUACCAUAUAUGCAUGUAUACACAUAUAUAUAUGUGUGGGUAUGUACAUAUAUGUAUGUAUAUAUGCAUAUAAAUAAUCAUCAUCAUCAUAAUCAUCGUUUAAUGUCUGUUUUCCAUGCUAGCAUGGGUUGGACGGUUUGACCGGGGUCUGGGAAGCCAGGAGGCUGCACCAGGCUCCAGUCUGAUCUGGCAGUGUUUCUACAGCUGGAUGCCCUUCCUAAUGCCAACCACUCUGUGAGUGUAGUGGGUGCUUUUUACGUGCCACCGGCACAGGUACCAGGCGAGGCUGGCAAUGGCCACGAUCGAUUGGUGCUUUUUACGUGCCACUGCCACAGGGAUCGCAACUACAAUUUCCAUUGAUUUUUGAUGCUGAUGUACUUGACUCAAUAAGUCUCCUCAAGCACAGGGUCGAAACGGUGUUUCUUUACUUGCCACCUGCACAGGAGUCAGUCCAGCAGCACUAGCAACGGCCGGGUGCCAGUCAUAGGAUUUGGUUCAAUUUCGAUAUAUAUAUAUAUCAUCAUCAUCAUCAUCAUCAUCAUCAUCAUCAUCAUUUAGCGUCCGUUUUCCAUGCUAGCAUGGGUUGGACGGUUCAACUGGGGUCUGUGAAGCCAGAAGGCUGCAUCAGGCCCAGUCUGAUCUGGCAGUGUUUCUAUGGCUGGAUGCCCUUCCUAAUGCCAACCACUCCGCGAGUAUAUAUAUAGUGUGUGUGUAUGUGUGUGCGAGUGUCUGCAUUUAACCCCCCCCCCCACUGCUUGACAAUUUGUGUAGUAGUUCGCCAAGAGACCGAUAGCGUAAGUACAUAGCAAUAGCAUAGCAAAAGCAAAAGAGUACUGUUAUCAAUUUGUUUAAUUAAAACCCUUCAAAGCUGUGCCACAAAAUAGUCACUAUCUUAUUUCUUUAUUGCCUACAAGGGGCUAAACAAGGGCAAACAAAGUGAUUAAGUUGAUAACAUCGACCCCAGUGCAUAACUGGUACUUAAUUUAUCGAUCCUGAAGGGAUGAAAGGUUGAGUCGACCUCGCCGGAAUUUGAACUCAGAAUGUUAAGGCAGACGAGAUACUGCUAAGUAUUUUGCCCGGCGUGCUAAUGUUUCUGCCAGCUCGCCGCUAUCUAAUGAUUGAAUCGAAUAAAUGGUAAAAGAUACAUAUAUACAGACAUACACAUGUGUGUGUGAGUGCAUGCAAGAACCUGUAUGUCCAGAGUAUCACUCUGUGCUUUUCAUCACAUUUUGAACACAAACUUGAUCCAUACUGAAUCACAAUAUACUUCUGUCAGGCCUACAAAUCCACUUUUGUCUUGUGAUCCUACAAACUUAUCUCUCUCUAUAUAAACGGCAGUUUGUCUGUGUGUGUGUCUGUGUGUCUGUUAGGUUGUACCCUCACCCUGACCAUGGCUUUCAACCGAUUCUGAUGAAACUUGAUACACACAUAGCCCAAUGUCAUAAUUCAAAACUAACGCAGCGAAAAUUUUGAAAAGUUCCCCCAGUUCUGAAAAAAAUCGAUAAAUUCGACAUGGGGUCGAGUAUCAGAAACACAAACCACAGACUGUCUAGGGGACGCAACUCGACCUUUUAACUCUCAAAAAAAAUUUAACAUAAUUUCUUUUCCAUUUUUUUGCUAUUUUUUGGCUAUAACUCUCUAAAAAUGCUUUAUAGUUAUUUCCCUUACAAACCCGAGCAACGCCGGGUGAUACUGCUAGUUGCAGUAUAAAUUUGACACACAAACAAAACUAAACUUAUCGCAUAAAUAUAUGGGAUCGCCUCUCCCACACAUCAUACAUCUUGCACGCAUGAACUCGUGCAUGCACGCACACACACAAACAACAUUAUGUCUUCUAUUCAUGAACAAUAUACUACUUCGACCAUCACACUUCUUACAAAUGCUCUGUUUAACAAUCUCAACAACCUCAAAUAGAAACAACACAUUUUUCACAUAGCCAAAACUUCAUUAUGAGAACCGUUUCUUUUCAGCUCCAUAUAAUACUUCUCUUCUCAAUAGCUGCAAACGCAUUUACAAAGCUUAAAUAUAUCUUAUGCUUGAGUAUUGUUCAGUCAAAGUAACAUAACCAACUGCAUCAAUAAUUAUAAUUACAAAAGUGAACCAAUAAUUAGAGUAUGAAAGUUAUUGGUUUCAUAUUAACUGUUUAUAAAUAUAUUUUUUUUCUUUUACUGUCGUAUUGUAAGAUCACAUGAUUAUAGUUUGAUACAGCAUGUUUUAAACACACACAUACAGAUGUACGUGUAUCUGUUUAUAUAACUGUAUAUCUGUUUGCACACACAUGCUCACACACACACAUCUGUAUAUCUGUUCAAACAUACAUCCUCAUGUACAAACUUACAAGCUCAAAAUUUUCAGACAAUCGCUAAACUUGCGCAUGCACACACACACACAUACACACACACACACACACACACACACACACACACACACACACACACACACACACACACACACACACACACACACACUCACACACACACGCACUCACACCCGCACACACACACUCAUGCAUACAUGUAUACAUAUGCAUAUGCACACUCACAUGUGAGAAAUGAUCAAUACCAAAUGCUUCAUUUGGAGAGACAAGUAUACAUGUGAAAGAAUACAUGUGAAAGUAUACAUGUGAAAGAAUACAUGUGAAAGAAUACAUGUGAAAGUAUACAUGUGAAAGAAUACAUGUGAAAGAAUACAUGUGAAAGUAUACAUGUGAAAGAAUACAUGUGAAAGAAUACAUGUGAAAGUAUACAUGUGAAAGAAUACAUGUGAAAGAAUACAUGUGAAAGUAUACAUGUGAAAGAAUACAUGUGAAAGUAUACAUGUGAAAGUAUACAUGUGAAAGAAUACAUUUGAAAGUAUACAUGUGAAAGAAUACAUGUGAAAGUAUACAUGUGAAAGAAUACAUGUGAAAGAAUAAAUGUGAAAGUAUACAUGUGAAAGAAUACAUGUGAAAGAAUACAUGUGAAUACAUGUGAAAGAAAAGAGAUAUCUGAAGGAGUUUGAUACCGUGUUCUUAUGAAAGACACCUAACACCAAUAUCAUACACACACACACACACACACACACACACACAACAAUAUGAUGUUGUGGGGUUGAUACAGAAGUCAGACCCUGUGGUUCUGUGAUUCACACUAUGUUGCCUAGCUUGUUAUUCUACUCCUGAUUUAUCAAAUAAAUACAAGAAGAACCAGCUACAAGAAAGGAAACAGUUUAACAUAGGUUGUUGAACUGAGAAGAUAUUUGACAUAACAGCUGGCUCCUUUACAACACCUUCCAGUUUUCAUUUUAUCAAAGGAAUUUCUGAAAAAAAGAAGAAAAAAGAAUGGGUGGGGUGGAGGCCUUUGCUGUAUUAGUGCCUUAUCCUGAGAGUGAGUCCUCCGCUAUCCGUUUAUUGCAGCUCAUCAUCAUCAUCAUCAUCAUCAUUUAGCGUCCGCUUUCCAUGCUAGCAUGGGUUGGACGGUUCAACUGGGGUCUGUGAAGCCAGAAGGCUGCACCAGGCUCCAGUCUGAUCUGGCAGUGUUUCUACGGCUGGAUGACUUUCCUAACGCCAACCACUACCGUGAGUGUAGUGGGUGCUUUUUAACGUGCCACCCGCACAGCUGCCAGACGGAGCUGGCAAACGGCCACGGACGGAUGGUGCGUUUUACUUGCCACCGGCACGGGGCGAGGCGAGGCUGGCAACGGCCACGAACGGAUGGUGCUUUUUACGUGCCACUGGUACGAGGCCAGUUGGGGCGGUGCUGGCAACUGGAAAUAUUUUUUAUUUCACUGAUUUUGUAUAAUAUAACAACAUAAUUUGAAGUGAGUUACACCAUGUUCACACCAUGUUCACACAUGUAUGUAUACCCAUAAAGAAACACACACACACACACACACACACACAUGUGCACCUGUUUGUAUAGCUACACAAAGAUAUCUCUUUACUCUUUUACUCUUUUACUUGUUUCAGUCAUUUGACUGCGGCCAUGCUGGAGCACCGCCUUUAGUCGAGCAAAUCGACCCCGGGACUUAUUCUUUGUAAGCCCAGUACUUAUUCUAUCAGUCUCUUUUGCCGAACCGCUAAGUGACGGGGACGUAAACACACCAGCAUCGGUUGUCAAGCGAUGUUGGGGGGACAAACACAGACACACAAACACACACACAUACAUAUAUAUAUAUAUACAUAUAUACGACAGUCUUCUUUCAGUUUCCGUCUACCAAAUCCACUCACAAAGCAUUGGUCGGCCCGGGGCUAUAGCAGAAGACACUUGCCCAAGAUGCCACGCAGUGGGACUGAACCCAGAACCAUGUGGUUAUUUAGCAAGCUACUUACCACACAGCCACUCCUGCGCCUAUAUCUGUUAGUUGAUAUUUACAGAUACACACACACAUACAUACAUGUGCAUAUGUACAUGCAUACACAUACCUUUAUGUCAUCAUCAUUAUCAUCAUCAUCAUUUAGCAUCCACUCACCAUGCUGGCAUGGGUCGGAUGGUUUGACUGUAGCUGAUAAACUGGAGGGCUGCAGCUAGUUCCAGUCUGAUUUGGGUUGAUUUCUAUGUCUGGAUGCCCUUCCUAAUGCCAACCGCUCCAAGAGUGUAAUGGGUGCUUUUAUGUUCCACCAGUAUGGAUGCCAUUUACAUAACACCGGAAAUGACCACAACUACAAUUCACAGGUGCCAUUUACAUAAUACCAUCAAUGGUACCAAUAAGGCGGUGAGCUGGCAGAAACGUUAGCCCGCUGGGCAAAAUGCUUAGCGGUAUUUCGUCUGCCACUACGUUCUGAGUUCAAAUUCCACUGUGGUCAACUUUGCCUUUCAUCCUUUUCGGGUUGAUAAAUUAAGUACCAGUUACGCACUGGGGUCAAUAUAACCGACUUAAUCAGUUUGUCUGUCCUUGUUUGUCCCUUCUGUGUUUAGCCCCUUGUGGGUAGUAAAGAAAUAGGUACCAUCAAUGACCAGAACUACAAUUCAAAGGUGCCAUUUACCAUUUACAAAGCACCAGUGACAGCCCAACUCAGGUUAUGUGUUUGUAGCAAAUUAAUACAACAUAAAAGUUAUUGUUUGCUGUUUGAUACCUGCAAAGUAUUUAUUUCUGUUACCUUUAUAUCUUAUAGUUGUAACCAUACUUUGGUACUGUCUUGAAGUGUUCAGUUAAAUGAAUCAACCCCGGUACUUAAUUUUUAAGCUUGGUACUUAUCCUGUUGAUCUCCUUUUGCUGAACUGCUAGGUUAAACAAACCAACACCAGUUGUCAAGCAGUGUUGGA